rnacentral:rRNA from 1 species
UACGGAGGAUGCAAGCGUUCUCCGGAAUGAUUGGGCGUAAAGCGUCCGCAGGUGGCUUUGUAAGUCUGCUGUUAAAGGGUGAGGCUCAACCUCAUAAGAGCAGUGGAAACUACAAGGCUAGAGUACGUUCGGGGCAGGGGGAAUUCCUGGUGUAGCGGUGAAAUGCGUAGAGAUCAGGAAGAACACCGGUGGCGAAAGCGCUCUGCUAGGCCGUAACUGACACUGAGGGACGAAAGCUAGGGGAGCGAAUGGG